rnacentral:rRNA from 1 species
GAUCCUGGCUCAGGAUGAACGCUGGCGGCGUGCUUAACACAUGCAAGUCGAGCGAAGCGCUUAAGUUUGAUUCUUUGGAUGAAGACUUUUGUGACUGAGCGGCGGACGGGUGAGUAACGCGUGGGUAACCUGCCUCAUACAGGGGGAUAACAGUUAGAGAUGACUGCUAAUACCGCAUAAGACCACGGUACCGCAUGGUACAGUAGGUAAAAACUCCGGUGGUAUGAGAUGGACCCGCGU